rnacentral:pre_miRNA from 1 species
AGUCCUACAUUGUUUUUUCCGUUGAAUUUUGGUUGUUAAAUUUAACAUCCAACCAAAAAUCAACUGAAAUACAAUGUAGGACU